CACGUAGGGGGCAAGCGUUGUCCGGAUUUAUUGGGCGUAAAGAGCUCGUAGGCGGCUCAGUAAGUCGGAUGUGAAACCUCCAGGCUCAACCUGGAGACGCCACCUGAUACUGCUGUGGCUAGAGUCCGGUAGGGGAGCGUGGAAUUCCUGGUGUAGCGGUGAAAUGCGCAGAUAUCAGGAGGAACACCAGCGGCGAAGGCGGCGCUCUGGGCCGGAACUGACGCUGAGGAGCGAAAGCGUGGGUAGCAAACAGG
rnacentral:rRNA from 1 species